GCCGAUGUGGCUCAGGGGUAGAGCAGCUCUUUCGUAAAGAGCAGGCCGUCGGUUCGAAUCCGACCAUCGGCU
rnacentral:tRNA from 1 species